CUAAAUAUUAUUUUAGUAAAAUACGCCUUAAUUUUAAGGUGGUUUAUUGGACUUUAGUCGUAAAGUCCCUAAGAAUUAGCAGUUUGCUAAAGUCCUUAAUUGUAAGGAAUAUUUAAGUUAAAUGUGCCUUAAUUGUAAGGUAAUUGUUAACUGCUAAAUAUUAUUUUAGUAAAAUACGCCUUAAUUUUAAGGUGGUUUAUUCGACUUUAGUUGUAAAGUCCCUAAGAAUUAGCAGUUUGCUAAAGUCCUUAAUUGUAAGGAAUACUUUAGUUAAAUGUGCCUUAAUUGUAAGGUAAUUGUUUACUGCUAAAUAUUAUUUUAGUAAAAUACGCCUUAAUUUUAAGGUGGUUUAUUAGACUUUAGUCGUAAAGUCCCUAAGAAUUAGCAGUUUGCUAAAGUCCUUAAUUGUAAGGAAUACUUUAGUUAAUUGUGCCUUAGUUGUAAGGUAAUUGUUUAAAGUAAAAUACGCCUUAAUUUUAAGGUGGUUUAUUCAACUUUAGUCGUAAAGUCCCUAAGAAUUAGCAGUUUGUUAAAGUCCUUAAUUGUAAGGAAUACUUUAGUUAAAUGUGCCUUAGUGGUAAGGUAAUUGUUAAAUGCUAAAUAUUAUUUUAGUAAAAUACGCCUUAAUUUUAAGGUGGUUUAUUCAACUUUAGUCGUAAAGUCCCUAAGGAUUAGCAGUUUCUUAAAGUAAUUAAUUGUAAGGAAUACUUUAGUUAAAUGUGCCUUAGUUGUAAUGUAAGGUAAUUGUUUAAUGCUAAAUAUUAUUUUAGUAAAAUACGCCUUAAUUUUAAGGUGGUUUAUUCGACUUUAGUCGUAAAGUCCCUAAUAAUUAACAGUUUGUUAAAGUCCUUAAUUGUAAGGAAUACUUUAGUUAAAUGUGCCUUAGUUGUAAGGUAAUUGUUUAAUGCUAAAUAUUAUUUUAGUAAAAUACACCUUAAUUGUAAGGUGAUAAUUUUCAACGAGUUGAAAUUCUUUUCUUAGUCAAUGUUCCUUGAUUUUAAGGAAUAUGAGUUCUUUUCUUAGUCAAUGUUCCUUAAUUUUAAGGAAUAUGAGAUAAAGCUUUAAUUUUAAAGCCACUUUCCAUAUAGACUGUUCUGUUUUGUUAUUUUAUAAAGUUGUAAUAUGAAUUUCUUUUAGUUUUUAAAUCAUUUGUUAUUUGUUGGUACCUUUCUAUGCUUAAACAUUUAGUAUUUGUUUUAUCAGAUUGUAAAUUCCUUUGCUGUAUUGUUUCAAUUUGUUUGCAUGUAACUUUAUUGCAUAGAUUGUAAUAUUUUUAUGUUCAAUCACAGUCAUAUAUUACUAUUUUACCAGUUAACACAACAAUUAAUUUUUCAAUAUAUGCUUAAUGUGUAUUAAUUAUAUAGUAUUAUCACAUUGAUAUUUCUCUUAUAAAUUAUAUUAAUGUCAAGUUAAUUUACUCACUCAAGUCUGUUGUUUAAAUCCAAAUAUUUAUCAUGCCUUUAAAACGAAAUUGAACUCAAUGAUGGUAUCCCAGAUAAUAACUGUAGGGUUUCCUAUCCAAACAUUGAUACAGCUGUUUCAUUAGUCAGAGCUUGUGGUCAGUAUUCGUACAUGAUGAAAGUAAACAUCAACAAUGCUUAUCGUAUUGCUCCUAUACACCCAGAUGAUUUUGAUACUUCUUGGAUUCAAAUAAAUGAUAGAUAUUAUUACUUUACCUAUGGGUCUGGGCUAUUCUUGCGCAUUGUUUGACAGGAUCAGUUCUGAUAUUCAGUGAAUUGCAGAAAACAAACUUGGUUUAUAUAAUUGUGCACACAUUCUAGAUGAUUUCUUUUUUGUUGGGGACAAUUAACAACUGUGUGAAAAAGGUUAACACAUUUUCAUUGCUGGUGUGCUUUAGUUGGUUUACCAAUUAAUCAUGCUAAAACUUGUCGGCCAUGCAGAAUCAUGUCUUUUGUUGGAAUUGAAUUGGACUCGGUACUUAUGGAGAAAAUAUUGCCCAAAGAAAAAUUUAAUAAGAUUCGCCUAGCUCUUGACAAAUUCAAGCAUCGGGAAAAAGCAACUCUCCUUGAACUACAGUCUGUUAUUGGUUUGUUUAAUUUUGCUUGUGCUGUUAUUGUUCCAGGCAGGGCAUUUUUACGUCGUAUCAUUGAUCUAACUAUUGGUUUAAAGAAAUCUCACCAUCAUAGACAGUUAUCAAAAGAUUCUAGAACAGAUUUUCUGGCAUGGUCAUCAUUCAUGUUUCAAUUUAAUGGCAAGUCGAUGUUUCUACCUGACCUUUGAGUCACUUCUGUGUCAUUAAAUCUUUUCACAGAUUCUAGUAAUGUCAGAUUUGGAGGGUACCUGUCAAACAAAUGGUUUUCAGCCAGUUGGCCUAAUGAAUGGUUGAAAUAUCACAUAACUGUACAAGAACUAUUUCAUAUUGUUUAAGCUUGAAAGGCCCGUGUUAGUUUCACAUUUACUGCUGUCUAUAGCACAUUGCUACAAGUGGGGACUUGUACAGUUGUGUGCUAAAGAAUAAGACUGUGGAACAUUGGAGCUGCCUCCACUGCAGCGCAACAAGGUUUUUUCAGAAGAAAAGAUUGAACUUGCAGGCAUAUGGUCAUCUUGUGCAUUUAAAAAGUAUAUAAGAAUUCCUAUGUUACAAGUGUAAUUAAUGGCAAAUGGAUAGCAGUCCUCUAACAAAUGCACAAUAAGUUUUUACAUGCAUUAAUUGUAAGCAGCAUUCACAAGAUUUGUAAAAACAAUUUGUUAACUUUGUUGUCAUAAGGACAAGGGCCUUUGACAUAUAGCCAUAGUCAUUCUGAUUUGAUUACAUUUUCUUUCAAAUUAAUAUGAUCUCAAUGUACAACUUUGCACAAAUAAUGCAAAUAAUUUGUAAACAUGUGUUUUUCUAGCAUUACAACAGUCACUAAAUUAAGUUAUGUCAUGGGGACAGGGACCUCUGACAGUAAGGUGUUUUCAAACAAUAUAUAUUUGUUAAACCAUUGUGCCAAUUUGAAGUACCUGGAGUUUGCUAUUUAACACUUUUUCUUUUCAAUCUUUAAUAUCUUUGCAUCAGAAUGCACAUAAUCCUUUUUUAUGUAUUUUUCAAGGAAUGGCGGCAAUUAUUACAAUCACAACAUCACUUUCUGUCAUGGGGACACGGGCCUCUGACAAAAACUUGUUUUCAAACACAGACACUCACUUGUAAGUUUGUGCCAAUAAUAUGUUAUAUGUUCAUAUUACGAUAUUAGAAUUUGUAUAUCUCUUGUUAUGUACAUAAUGUUCAAUUUUAAAUUCAUGAUUAUUCCUUUGUGUUAAGGUAAAUUAAAACUUCAUGUCUUAGGUUAAGAUGCCAGCAUGGUUAUAUUUUAAUUUGUAUCAAUUUAAGAUCUACUUGGAUAUUACACAUAUGGUGAUAUCAGUAUACACCUUUACUCUAAAAAGGUAAUCUAAAUAAAGACAACAUUUAUUUCAGUCACAAGUUUACUUUAUGUCAUGGGGACAAGGGCCUCUGACAUACAAGGUACCUUCUAACACAUACAGUCAAUUAAAUCCGUAGUGCCAAUAAAAAUGUUGUCUUAUGUUAGGUAGUUUAGUUAUCAUCUUGUGAUGUACAUAUUUUUAAUAUUCUUGUUUAUUUCAUUAGCAUUGUUUCAAACAUUUAAAGAAUAAUUUUGUUUGUCCCCUUUUACAUGACUAGUCAAUUUCAUUAAAGAAGUUUUGGUUGGGGGAAUUGUGUUUUACACAAUUUGUGGCAAUAUUCUUAGAACCCAACCUUUGAUAAUUUUUCGGGAUAUGUGUGUAUAUAAUUUUAUAUACAUUUUUCAGAAAUGUUUGCUUGCUUUGUAUACAAUUUUAUGUUAUAUUAUAACUUUCAUAUCAGCAUUGUUUUAUAUGUUUAUAUGUCAUUUAUUAUUAAAUGGCCAUUUCACAAUUUUAUGUUAGUUUGAUAACUUUCAUAUCAACAUUGUAUUAUAUGUUUUUCCGUCAUUUAUUAUUAAAUGGCCAUUUCAAUUUCAAAGUGUAGUUGUUAUUCUUGAAAAUUAUCAAACAGAGAAAACUUCUUCAGGCAAAGAUACAACAAAUUGAAAUGUUGACAUAAAACUUAAUUUAUUGCAAAAUAAAUGUUUUUAUGGUCACUUACAAGCUUGAUGGUGGGUUCCAUUAGGUCUUUAGUCAUAGGUCUAAAUAUAUUGGGUUCGAAAAAGCCGUACUAGUAAGUACACUAAGGUUAUCGUUAUGAGUAAGUACAAUGUGAUAAUUGAUGCGGAUUAAGUCCGCCAUUUUAGAAGAAGAAAUAAUUCAUAACAAUUUUCAAUAACCCACCAUCCCACCCACAUUCAGCAAGGCAAUAUUCUUAGAACCCAACCUUUGAUAAUUUUUCGGGAUAUGUGUGUAUAUAAUUUUAUAUACAUUUUUCAGAAAUGUUUGCUUGCUUUGUAUACAAUUUUAUGUUAUAUUAUAACUUUCAUAUCAGCAUUGUUUUAUAUGUUUAUAUGUCAUUUAUUAUUAAAUGGCCAUUUCACAAUUUUAUGUUAGUUUGAUAACUUUCAUAUCAACAUUGUAUUAUAUGUUUUUCCGUCAUUUAUUAUUAAAUGGCCAUUUCAAUUUCAAA